CAGUCGCCGCGGUAAUACGUAGAUGGCAAGCGUUGUCCGGAAUUAUUGGGCGUAAAGGGCUCGCAGGCGGUUUCUUAAGUCUGAUGUGAAAGCCCCCGGCUCAACCGGGGAGGGUCAUUGGAAACUGGGAAACUUGAGUGCAGAAGAGGAGAGUGGAAUUCCACGUGUAGCGGUGAAAUGCGUAGAGAUGUGGAGGAACACCAGUGGCGAAGGCGACUCUCUGGUCUGUAACUGACGCUGAGGAGCGAAAGCGUGGGGAGCGAACAGGAUUAGAUACCCCGGUAGUCCCUGUCUCUUAUAC
rnacentral:rRNA from 1 species